rnacentral:rRNA from 1 species
GAGUUUGAUCUUGGCUCAGAUCGAACGCUGGCGGCAUGCCUUACACAUGCAAGUCGAACGGCAGCACGGGAGCUUGCUCCUGGUGGCGAGUGGCGAACGGGUGAGUAAUGCAUCGGAACGUAUCCUGGAGUGGGGGAUAACGUAGCGAAAGUUACGCUAAUACCGCAUAUUCUGUGAGCAGGAAAGCGGGGGACCUUCGGGCCUCGCGCUCUUGGAGCGGCCGAUGUCGGAUUAGCUAGUUGGUGAGGUAAAGGCUCACCAAGGCGACGAUCCGUAGCAGGCCUGAGAGGAUGAUCUGCCACACUGGAACUGAGACACGGUCCAGACUCCUACGGGAGGCAGCGGUGGGGAAUUUUGGACAAUGGGGGCAACCCUGAUCCAGCCAUGCCGCGUGAGUGAAGAA